UACGUAGGGGGCAAGCGUUGUCCGGAUUUAUUGGGCGUAAAGAGCGUGUAGGCGGCCUGGAAGGUCAGCUGUGAAAACUCGAGGCUCAACCUCGAGACGUCGGUUGAAACCACCUGGCUAGAGUCCGGAAGAGGAGAGUGGAAUUCCCGGUGUAGCGGUGAAAUGCGUAGAUAUCGAGAGGAACACCUGCGGCGAAGGCGGGUUGCUGGGCUGAUACUGACGCUGAGGCGCGAAAGCCAGGGGAGCGAACGGG
rnacentral:rRNA from 1 species